rfam:Lupinus angustifolius cultivar Tanjil chromosome LG07, whole genome shotgun sequence.
GGUGGAAAGUUCCAAAGGGAUCGCAUUGAUCUAAUUCUUGUAGUUCCUGAAAUCAGCUUUGUUUUACUGGUUAACAAAUUGGAUCAUGCCAUCCCUUAGGAAUUUUCCAU